rnacentral:lncRNA from 1 species
GGGGGCGUCGUCCGCGGGGGGGGGGGGGGGGGGAGAGACAGGGCCCGAGGGCCGCGAGGCCGGGGCCGGGGCCGGUUUUGGUCUCUGCCGGUUCCUGUCUCCGCCGGUUCCUGCUGUCCCGUUUGGGUCCCCGGCAGCAGCCCCGGCGGGGCGGAGCCGCCCGGCGGGGGGGGGGGGAAGGCGUUCCCCCUCAGAGAGGCGCCGUCGCUGGCGGCGGCAGGUGUUUGCCGUCGGGAGGGCCCGAGAGCAGCUGCCAUUUGUCUGCAGAAAAGCAAGUUUGCGUUUUUGAAGAUUAUGUCAGAAGACUGGGAGAAGAGUAAGCCAAAGCGAGCUCACUUAGUUGGUGAGGAGCACAAAUCAACAAGAAGAAAAACGUAGCAGUGAAAUCAAGCAAAACCAGAUUUCUGCCAAAAUAAUCAAUGAAGUGGAAAAGAAGGAUUCAGACAUAUGAAUUUUAUUUAGAGACUGACUGCGUGAGAAAUCUGUACAGAGAGUCUGGUUUCUCCACACUGCUAAAAUGCAACAUUCUUUGUUCUGCUUCAGUUCAUACUGCACAAAUGUAGUGAUGCAGUCAUAGGAUAUAACAAUUUUACUGUAAUUCAUUAGUAAUAAUUGUUUCUUAUUCUCCCCUUCAAUGGAUUUCAAAGGCUUCCCUUUUUUUCUCUUGUGCCAUAUAUUGUUUUACAGCUUCUAAUAUAUCUUCACAUUUGCCAUGCACAAAAGGCUUUAGACUGUUUUUUAAGAUUGUCCCCACCUUCAAGGAGACAUUCUGCGCAUAAUUCUCCAGUGUUCAUGAUUGCUUGUACUAUCUUCCCUCAUAUUAAGCAGUAUCUUCAGACAACUAAAUCAUCCGCUUUCUUGGAAAAAAGUGAUACAAAAAUAUUCUGAACUUUUAAAAAUAGUUUAAUGGGAGAAAGUCAGAAAACAGCCCCAGUAACAAACCAUCUCUACAGGCACCUGAAAUGCUUCACAGAGCACCCCUUGUCCAUAAACUAAAUUUUGGAACCUUGUUGUGUAUAGGACCACACAGAGCCCUGUCCUAAGAGCUCAUCACUAGUAAUAAGCAUGUUAUUCAGAGCAGUAUGGUUUUACAGUACUGAGCAAAGUAAAAUUCUCUACCUUCUCUAAAUAAUGAUUUUUAUCUAUGCUUUGGUUCAUGAACUGUUCUCAGUUCUUUCCGUGUAAAAAUCAAGCUCCUGAUCUGCCAUUGGACUAGCAGAUUUUAGAAGCAAUGUAUUCUAUAUGCAAAUGUAGUGAAUGUAAAUAGAAGCAAUAAAUAAAGCUGGGAGAAUUGUCA